rnacentral:rRNA from 1 species
CCUACGGGGGGCAGCAGUGGGGAAUAUUGCACAAUGGGGGAAACCCUGAUGCAGCGACGCCGCGUGAGUGAAGAAGUAUUUCGGUACGUAAAGCUCUAUCAGCAGGGAAGAAAAUGACGGUACCUGACUAAUACUCCCCGGCUAACUACGUGCCAGCAGCCGCGGUAAUACGUAGGGGGCAAGCGUUAUCCGGAUUUACUGGGUGUAAAGGGAGCGUAGACGGCAGCGCAAGUCUGGAGUGAAAUCCCAUGGCUUAACCAUGGAACUGCUUUGGAAACUGUGCAGCUAGAGUGCAGGAGAGGUAAGCGGAAUUCCUAGUGUAGCGGUGAAAUGCGUAGAUAUUAGGAGGAACACCAGUGGCGAAGGCGGCUUACUGGACUGUAACUGACGUUGAGGCUCGAAAGCGUGGGGAGCAAACAGGAUUAGAUACCCUUGUAGUC